rnacentral:tRNA from 1 species
UGGGUCCCUCCUUUCUAAGAGAAGAAGUAUGUUUAAAUUUAAUUAUUAUUUUAACUCUUUCCCUUGUUUUCUCAAAGGCUUUUUUGGGGGUUUUAGCUCAGUUGGUUUAGAGCAUCGGCUUUGCAAGCCGGGGGUCAAGGGUUCGAGUCCCUUAACCUCCAUUUAUUUAUUGUUAAAUAGGUAUGCAGCCUUUUAAGAAAUGGCUUUGUUUUAUAUUGAGUGAAUGAAUUUUUCAUGGCUUUAAAAGAUGUGUUUUUAUGUUGUUUGUUGUCUUGAUGAAUUGCUUUUUAUGAAUUCCAAAACUUGAUUACAUGCAAAAAGUUUAUCUCUAAUUAUUU